UGAGUGUUCAUGUUUUAGAUAACAUAAAUAUACCAACAUCUGUUGUUUAUCAUCUACGUGGGAGGUCUAUUUCACGUUGGGAACACUUAGGACUAGACACGCCUUACAUUUAAUCUUGUGAUUGAGUUCAGACUGGCAUUCACAAGUGUGCUUCGGAAUGAUACACAUCGCUUAUAUCAAACACCGUUGAUAUUCGCGAGUGGAACGCGUUGGGCCACUUUCUGUCUGAAAUACCCUUACCACGAAGACUAUUAUGACUCGUACGGUAGUCAUGUCAUGGAAUUUAUAAGAUUUCUCGUACGUGGAUCUACAAUCAUCAAAUACUUUCAAGCCAUGUGUUGCCAAUACGUCCUGUAUGACUCGUAGUGUCCAUGAGAUGAACUUUUCACGGAAGGUCAAACUUGGUCUACCGCCUUUGAAUCUUUGGCAAGAAGCGAGGACAUAUUUUCUUCGUCGGGGGGAAAAACGAAAAUCGCUACGUUACACCGUAAACUCAUUCCGUGUGAUGAUUAUGUAUGUCAAAAGUUAUUCUGUGAAACGAUCAGAUGAGCGAUUCUGAUUAUAGUGAUGGAAUAAAAAAAAGUGUACAGACUGCUUGACUCAUUGAAAGGAAGUAAGAAAUGUAAAAAUAAACAACAUAUGUAUAUAUAGAAUGAAUUAUUUUUUAUUGAUCAAUGUUUACUAUUAUUGGCUUUUCUCGUUUCUGUGUUUUAAUCGAAUCGUUUAUGUACUCGUAUUUUUUGUGGCAUUAAAAAUAAAUUUAACCACGCCGCACAUUUACAUGUAUCUACGUAUUUUUCGAGGUGUUAACAAAGAAAUAUUUAAUCACGCUAAACAUUUAUACACUACGCAACUAUUUUCCUUACUCACAUCGUAUGUUUUUUUGUGACGUUAAAAAAAUACUCAACCAUGUCAUAAAUAUAUACUCCAUGUCAAUAUUUCAUUCUUGUUUACUUCUUUUGUGCAAUAAACUCCAUUAGUUUUCAAA